rnacentral:rRNA from 1 species
GACGAACGCUGGCGGCGUGCCUAAUACAUGCAAGUUGAGCGCUGAAGGUUGGUACUUGUACCAACUGGAUGAGCAGCGAACGGGUGAGUAACGCGUGGGGAAUCUGCCUUUGAGCGGGGGACAACAUUUGGAAACGAAUGCUAAUACCGCAUAAAAACUUUAAACACAAGUUUAAAGUUUGAAAGAUGCAAUUGCAUCACUCAAAGAUGAUCCCGCGUUGUAUUAGCUAGUUGGUGAGGUAAAGGCUCACCAAGGCGAUGAUACAUGGCCGACCUGAGAGGGUGAUUGGCCACAUUGGGACUGAGACACGGCCCAAACUCCUACGGGAGGCAGCAGUAGGGAAUCUUCGGCAAUGGACGAAAGUCUGACCGAGCAACGCCGCGUGAGCGAAGAAGGUUUUCGGAUCGUAAAACUCUGUUGGUAGAGAAGAACGUUGGUGAGAGUGGAAAGCUCAUCAAGUGACGGUAACUACCCAGAAAGGGACGGCUAACUACGUG